rnacentral:lncRNA from 1 species
CUCUCCUGCUCUGCCAUGGGAAGAUGUGCCUACUUCCCCUUUGCCUUCCACCGUGACUGUACAUUUCCUGAGGACUCCCUAGCCAUGCUUUCUGUACAGCCUGCUGAACUCUCUGCCCAAAUUUCAGCUGUCACAGAAUGAGUGAUCCUCAUAGUAUAAUGGAAAUGCAUCAUCUCAGUUUCCCCAUGGCCUGAAUGUCCAUACAAAAUGAGAGCCAGUAGAGAAAAACAGAGGACGUGAGGAGUUUUUAAAAAUUGAGGAAAAGUGGAAGGAAAAGUAAGGAUGAAGGUGAAGAUGAAGGAAUAUGUCAGAGAUGCUAGCACUGGCAUCCCCCACCACACAGUACCAUGUACUGCUAAAGAACUCUAGAACAUACAGGGUGUAGACGGCAGUCUUCUUGGGGAAAAAGAGGCUUCAGGAUUGCAAGAUUUCAGCUACUGUCUCUCCUCGGAGCAGGAUUCCAUCUUUUCCAUGGCUGGGGCCCUUGACACAUGUCACUGUGCACUGCUCUUCUCGCUGGGAAAAGGAAACUGAGGCCCAGAGAGGGCAAGUGAAUUUCCCAAGAGUGUCCAGAUGAUACGGAGCUGAGCUGGAAAGUGAGCCUGGAUCUCUCUGGUUCUGAAAGCUUUGCUCGAAAGCACAGGAUGACACCUCCAUUCAAUCAAUAAGCACUGAGACCCUUCCAUGGACUCAGCAGGUCCUGCUGUCCCUGAAGGUUGACACUCUCAUUUCAAACCACAGCGAGAACCCCAAAAGGAAACAGUGCAAGGAAAAUAAUGUGAUAUUUGAGAGGCAGCAUGGAUUAUUGGGGACAGGGUUCAUGUCCCUUCUCUCCCACACACGUGGCAUGAUGUUAAGCGGGUCACCUCACCUCUCCAGGGUUGUUUCCUCAACUGAGAAAAUGAGGGGGUUGAGAUGAACGCCAGCCCUGGGGUGCUCAAUGCUGCAGUCUAGGGUGGUGUGGACUGGAAUCAGAAUUCUUUCUCCUCCGCUCUGGGUGCUGACACAUGAUCUCUGGCUCUCACUCCCCACCCCUAAUCUUGCCCAUCUGAGUUUCAGGUUAUUUUUUCCUUCCUCCUGCUCUUCAAUUUCCUUAUUGAGGAAGCUCUUUCCUGCUGCCUCUGUCCCCGCUGGAGCUGUUUGAUCCAGUAGAGCCAGUCGAAGCCAAGGGGACCCUGACUUGAAUCUUGCUUUCUGACAUGCUGGCUGUGGCUUGCUUGGGACCUGAAUAAGAGCUUGCUUACUCCCGGUGUUCACCACAGCGGAACCAUGGGUGCAGAAAUGUAAUUCUCAACCAGCCCAGUUUAAUCAGCGAAAGACAAUAGAGCUUGCAGGCGGUGUCAUGCUGAGUAUCUGAACACACCAUGGCUGCUGUCGCCCUUUUCAUUAAAAUGAUUGAAAAUGUAUUUCUAAACAGAAGUGAGGGUCCCUGUCUAAAUCAAGCCGCUGUAUUGGGCUUAUUGUCCCGAUCUGAAGUGCUUCAGCUUCUAGUGCUUCUCAAUAGAAGUUCAUUAUUACAACGAUAAUAACAACUGUAUAGAUACACAGAAAAGAAGUUCCCAUUUCAUAAGGAAAAAAGAAACUCAUUCAAACCAAGAGAGAAUGAAAAUUGCUCUUGUUCAGCAGCUCUACAAUUCCUGCUUUCCCUUUCUGCUGGAAAGGAAGUUGAAUUUAAAAGCUUAUCUUGGUUCGAUUUUCUUUUUCCCUAAACCAAAAUAGAAUAGCUAUUUAGCUUGAAAAUUUGUAAGAGCUCAAGUCAAUUGGUUAACCAAACACACACACACACACACACACACACUUACAUGCGCAUCUUAAUAUCCUCAUUAUAUAAAAUCUCAAUCACCAAAAAUGACCCCCAAAAUUAUAAGACUCCAAUAUAUGAUUGAGCAAAGGACAUAAACAGAUGGUUCAUAAGGAGGAAAGACACAUGAUAAAAAAUAUGAAAAAAUUUUCAACACACAGAUAAUAAAAGAAAUUCAGAUGAUAACGAGAUAUUGUAGGUGCUAAUCAAAGUAUCAAAGAUUUUAAAAAUUAUAGCAAAAGAGUUCCUUGCUUUUGUGUAAUGAGUUCCCAGAUAAUAUGUGAAAUUCACUCAUCCUCUUCCAAAUCAACAUUACUGUCUGUGAAAUGAACAAUACAACCAAGCACACAGAUCCUAGCCUCUGCUGGGAAAAUCCCGUGUAAAUCCACCAUCCUUUUUGUUUCUUAAGUUCCUCCUUGGUAAAAAGUUGUUUGGCUCAUGCCUGUAAUCCCAGCACUUUGGGAGGCCGAGGCAGGCAGAUCACCUGAAGUCAGGAGCUCGAGACCAGCCUGGCCAACAGGGUGAAACCCCAUCUUUACUAAAAAUACAAAAAUUAGCUGGGCGUGGUGGCGAAUGCUUGUGAUCCCAGCUACUUGGGAGGCUGAAGCAGGAGAAUCACUUGAACCCGGGAGGCAGAGGUUGCAGUGAGCCGAGAUCGCGCCACUGCACUCCAGCCUGGGCAGAAGAGUGACACUCCAUCUCAAAAAAAAAAAAAAAAUGUUGUUUGUGUUCAGAUUCUGAAAUUUCACAAUUCUCCCCAGGUACUGUUUUUCUUUGCCCCAAAGCCUUUAAGUCUUCGUUGAUGGAUAUGUAGACACCUAAUAAGUAUUUGACCUGAAAGUGUCUUUCAAAGCAUAGAAUUCAGAUGGUGAUUUUACAAAUGAAGAGAGUGAGGCUCACACAUUCUGAAGGGGGGAGUCAGGCUUUUUACCAUAAAAGUUUUUCCUUGGGGUAAUGGUCAAUAUCCACCAAAAUCCAGGUGGCACAUGCUUGAUACCCUUCUGAAAAGACUUAGUCUACUUCACUACUGGUUUUAGCAGGGUAGAGCCAGGGUCUCAGAACACAAUGAGCUGCUCAGGUGAAAGAAGAUCACACUAGGAUUUCUGCUUUCUAAUGCACCAUCCUUUUUAAAUUUUCAUUUUUCUUACUGUUAUAAUGUAUAGGUUAGUAGAGCACUUUACUUCUUGGGGAUACAUAAUUAAAGUUGUUUUGCUGGUAGGAUAGUGUUAUCAAAAAUUUGCAGGCAGCUGGAAUAGUGAGAUGUGAAUGUGUCUGAUCUCGUGCAAUUCAGGAAGCAGGGCCUUCAGAGUGAAGGGAGGAAGGAAAGCUGGCUGUGGUCAGAGGAGAUGACCAGCAGAGCUCCUAAUAGAGGGCAAGAGUCACCUCCUCACCCCACAGGCUGCAUUGAGACUAAGGCAACUGGAAAGUUCAACUGAAUCACAAGGGCGUGCUGACAUGCUGGGGAAAAGCCAAAAUUUUUAAAGGUCAUCUUGCCAGAAAAGUGGCUGCUGCUUAGGUCCUGUCCUGGCACCCUGGGCCCAGGAUCCCAGGACUCAGCUCAUGGGGAGCAGAGGGCUGUGGCAUGCCAAGUCAAAGGUCUCAUGGAGAUGGUUCCAAUUGGGAAUCAAUGGCAGAGAUGCCAAGACAAGCUAAGGGGCAUGGCAAUCUGAGGAUCCAAGCCACCUAGCACAGACACAGGGACAGGCAAGGGAACUAGAGACCUUAGCAGCUUGUCAGAGGGGAAGCGGAAGGCAGCAGGGGCCCAGAAGCAAACUCCCUAUGUCAGAUAGAGGUGUGUGCAGUGAAAAUGAAGGGGGAACCAGAACCCCUUGCAGGAAAUGUCCAGUGGAACUCCAUGAAGUCCCUCGAGUCGUCUUUGAACCGCUGAGCCAGGUAUUAGAGGACCCACAGCACACUUCUGAGCCUCGUUUCUGUCUCUCUUACCUACCACAAACUCUGGACAAUCAGCUCGCACAUUUGUUCCUUUAUUCCCAAGGAGAACAUGAGGAAAGGACGUAGAUAUCACCCAAAUGUAUAAUUUACCAGGUAAGAAAAGCCCAAUGGCUUUCUAAUUAUUUCUGGAUGUCCCAGCAGCCUCUGUCAGGAGUGCAGGUGUAAGUAGCCUCAUGUGCCUUUGCUCCGGCCUCCUUGUGGGAGUCCAGUACCCCAACCCCAUCUUGGGAGAUGCCGCUGGUCCAACCUCAGGAUCUCCUAAUGGAGUCAAGAGGUAAGGCUGAUUUGAAUUCACCCUUCUUCUCCUUAAAGCUAGUGCAACUCACAGAAAAUUGAGAGCCAAAUGGGAAACAAACUGUCAGUUUUCCUAACGGGUAGGCAGGUGUGUCUUAACCCCCAAGGCUUUCUGGGGGAGCCAGAGAGGAGAAAGUGACUUAGACCUGAGGACAAAGGAGAUCCACCUGCUUCUCUAAUUGUAGACCUUAAGCCUGCCUGUCACAUGGACUGUAGCGUACUGAGCACAGGGGUGGUGCCGGGCAGGUACAGCUCCCAGCACUCUGCUGUGGACAUCCUAACUCGCUAGAAGUUGACUCAGUCACAAACUAUCUAAGUUUAUAGCUGAAGCUCUAGCACCUGUUCUAGAACAGGAGAAUCUGAAGGAGGAGAUGAACUGAAUUUAGCACUGAUUUUCUUUAAAAAUAUUUAUAGAAACUAUAACAUUUCUGAGUUAUCUAGAAAUGUUAUUUUUGUUUAGUUUGGCUUUCUUUUUUUUUGCUUUCAUCUGAAAAUUAAACAUUUUGAGGUAAUUGUAGAUUCACAUGCACUUGUAAGAAAUAAUACAGGGAGAUCCCUCUAUCUUUCACCCAGUUCCUCCAACUUGGUAGUAUCUUGCCAAACCAUUGUACUAUUUCAUACCAGGACAUUGACAUUGAUACCAUCAAAAUACAGACAAUUUCCUUGGCUACAAGAGUCCUCCACAUCCACUUCCCUCCUGCACCCACCCCUUCCUUAAUCCUUGGCAACCACUGUUCUCCAUAUCUAUAAUUUUGUCUUUGCAGGAAUGUUAUAUAAAUGGGAUUAUACAGUAUGUAAUCUUUUGGGAUUGCACUGUUUUUUUAUUUGCAGCAUAAUCCUCUGAAAGUUGUUGCAUGUAUCAAUAGCUUUUUAAUCUUUAUUGCUGAAUGGUAUUCCAGGGUAUGGCGUACUACAGUUUGUUUAACCAUCCACCUGUUGAAGGAUAUCUGGGCCGCUUCCAGUUUGGGCAAUUGCAAGAUGCUACAGACAUUGAUAUACAGAUUUCCAAAAGACCUUGGCUCAGGUGUCACUUUUGCAGAAAAGCAUUUACUGACUGUUGACUUGGCCAAAUCCCUGUGCUGUGUUUCCUAGUACGGUAAAUCAACUGUAUCCAGUAGUGGGACAGAUGCAGCAUGAAAGAAGAAAGUUACAAUUGCUUUAUCUGAUGCUGUCACUCAUGCCUGGUGUUGAGAGGCGCACAUUUUAAAAAGUCUAAUAGCUCCGACAUAUCUAGGAAACAGAUGGGAAACAAAUGAAGCAUUGAUGGAUUCGCAAAUUCCAGUUCUUUGAUAUUUGUCUGCCCAGGAAUGGGUGGGACAGAGAAAUGUAAGGGAAUAAUGAGGAUACGGGUGGGGAAAGGCUUGCAAUUUUUCCCGUUCUUCUUUGGAUAUGGACUGAAGGAAGGAUGUGGGGAGGAGGUGUUUAUCUUUUGCUUGUACUCUGAACUUUUCCAAAGUUACUGCAUUCCUUGGGAUAUAAAACUGUAAUCAAGAGUCUCUAAUGGAUAACUGCAAUUAUGCAUUGAGUCAUUCAACAAAUACACAUUAAUACUGACUAAAUUAAGCUCGAAUGGAACUUCAGGGCAAAAGAACAGAGAAAAUAAAAUACCACUAGAGAAGGGAUCUGUGCUCUUUCCUGGACUUAAAUCUCCCACAGCCAGCACGUUUGACAGUUAAACUAGUCAAGCAAAUUAGCACAGGCCCAGAGGAUGAAAUCAAGGUGGGGGCAGGUAAGGUUCACAUAAUAAACACUCUCCCUAGACCCUGGACCUAGGGACAAUACUUCAGGAAGAAUUUUUUUUAUUAAUCUCAUUUAUUCAUUCAUGUAUUCACCAAGUAGUUAUUGAAUACCUCCAUGUGCCAGUCACCUUCAUAGGCUCUGGGAACACAGAGACAAAUGGGGUGCAGCUUUUGCCUUCGAGGACCGCCUGAUAAUGGAGGAGCAUGCUUGUUGUACUGUCCCCACACUUCUUUUUUUUUUAAUUUUACUUUAUGUUCCCGGAUACAUGUGCAGAACUUGCAGGUUUGUUACACGGUAUACGUGUGCCAUGGUGGUUUGCUGCACCUUUUAACCUGUCAUCUAAGUUCUCUCCCCUCGCCUCCCGCCCCCCAACAGGCCCCGGUGUGUUUUUGUUCUUCUCCCUGUGUCCAUGUGUUCUCAUUGUUCAAGCCCCAACUUAUGAGUGAGAACAUGUGGUGUUUGGUUUUCUGUUCCUGUAUUAGUUUGCUGAGGAUGACGACUUUCAGCUCCAUCCAUGUGCCUGCAAAGGACAUGAUCUUGUCCCUUUUUAUGGCUGCAUAGUACGCCCCCUGCACUUCUAAUAAAGAUGGCGCCAGGAAGGAAAGCCCAGUUUGCCUCAUUCCAGAAUGCCCCAACUUCUGCCAAAGAGGAGGUUUCCUCCAUUCACCUGUCCAUUUGGAACACAAUGAAAAUACAGAAUAUGCAGAAUAUGCAGAAAAUACAGAAUAUACAGAAAUAGAUGUAUAUGAAUAUACAUCUAUUUAAGAAAAAUUCACAAGGCCCCAAACUACUCUAGCUUUCCUAGGAAGUAGAGAAGACCCCCUCAAAAAAAAACACUGGCAAACUGAGCCUGCUAUUGGGGAAGGAAAUUCAAGACCAGGAAGGUCAGGACAUGUAUUCAUUAAAUGGCUAUAACACCUCAAUCCAAAUGCAGAGAAAUCUGAUGUACACGCUCCAAGAUAAGCAUCUCUAAGGUACAGUCAGUGGUCAAUUUUUCAACAUUUAUUUAAUAUCUUGCUAUAUUUAUGGCAUCGUGAAAUAGAUGCUGUAUUCCUUCUCUGAAAAUUUUCAAUUGAGGUGGGGACAUGAAUAAAUGUAUUAACCCAUUUAUGCCGGAGGUUGCAAUUUUUGUUUUCUGAAAAAUCAGACCUUGGUGAUGACCUUGAGCGGUAGGAUAUAAAAACUCCCAAAAGCCUAGCGUUUUAAUAAUGGAACACUAGGCAUAAGUAGCUUAAAACAGCAUAGAAAAGUCAUGUAAACUAUACAACAGUCAUGUAGAUAUGGUGCAUAUGGAGACACAGGGUUCCUGGGAAGGGCAAACCAUGGUACAGAGUUUACCAGGGAAGAGUUCCUAGGAGAAAUGAGCUUGGAACUGGAUGUUGGAAGAUCAUCACCAUGUGUGGUGGGGCAAGUCUUCAGCCAAACUUCCCUGGGGCUUUUUUUACUCAUCAAAAAAUGAGUACAAUGCACACAGAUUACAUGAAUUUUGUAAGGAUAAAAUAUGACAACAUUAGUAUGGCAUCCAUGCACAUAGGAGGCACUAAUGAAUAUCACAUUCCUUUCCCUUUUCUAUUUUAUGCUUUCCAUACUUGAUAUUAUUUAAUGAUAGAAAUGUUGAUGAAAAUAAGGAAUAGUACACCUCUCACACUUUCUAUAUUGAGCAUGCAUUACUCUUAACACAGAAAAAAUAAAGCACAAGAUUAAAAUAGUGUUUUAUUUGUAGAGUUUUGGUCUGAAAGAAGUUAACAGGUCCUUAGUAGUCACUUCACAGCAGAAAAUCAAAUGAGGGCUUCCCAGCCACACAGAAAUGUUAUUUUAAUCUGAUGUUCAGUGCCCUUCAGUUGCUAGUUAGACCCGCUUAGACUGAAACAGAUGCCACAAAUGCAAUGCUAUGUUCACCACCCAGUCGCUUUCCAAACACAGGGUAAGGAUUCAGGUCACUGUCCCCCAUCGACAAAAGAGCUUGAGCAUCACUGUCAUUGCUUCAUGCAGUCACAGCCCCGCUGGGAGGGACAGCCAUGACCCAGGCAGGUCUUGCCGGUAUCGGUGGUCAGAGACCAGGGACAGAAGAUGCACUGCCUGGAGUUGUCUUCUCCCAGGCAGCGUGCAUGGCUGCCUUGCAAGCACAGGCUUGCCCCAUCCGAAGCUCCAUCUUUGCUCAGGCUCAGAGAGGAAAAAUUUGCCAGCUGCGAGUGAAAAAUGUUCAGACCUCGAAAUCUUUCUGCAGCCCAUACUGGGUCACACUUGCAAUGCCCAAUACAAUUUUUGGCUAAGAAAUGCUUGUAAUUCAGAGAUAAACCUACGAUUGCAGGUUAUAUCACGGCGAGGAAAAAUUUGCUUUCCAGAGAAAUAUCACUUAUCUCAGACUUUUUAAUUCCUCUGAAAAAAAUAGGGGUUUAAGAAAUGGUGGCUCAGCUAUGAGUUCCAUCUCCGGUUACUAAGGCUUAUGUUCUGUUACAGGCUCAAUUUUCCUCCCUAAAAAUGACAUUGAAGUCCUAACCCGCAGUACUUCAGAAUGAUUACAUUCUGGUGACAUCUCUUCAGAAACAGGGUCUUCUUAGAGGUAAUCAAUCUGAAAUGAGGUGACUAGGGUGGACCUUAAUCUAAAAUGACCAGUGUCCUUUUAAAGAGGGGAAUUUUGGACACAGAGGCAGACAUGCCGAGGAGGAAGACAACAUGAAGAAGCACAGGAAGAAGACGGCCAUCCACAAGCCAAGGAAUGCUUUGGCCAGCAGUGCCCAACCUUUUUGGCACCAGGGACCAGUUUCACGGAAGACAAUUUUUCCAUGACUGUGGGUGGGGGAGGGGGAGUGAAUAGUUUCAGGAUGAUUCAAGCACAUUACAUUUAUUGUGCACUUUAUUUCUAUUACUACUACAUUGUAAUAUGUAAUGAAAUAAUUAUAUAACUCACCAUAAUGUAGAAUCAGUGGGAGACCUGAGCUUGUUUUCCUGCAACUAGGCAGUCCCAUCUGGGGGUGAUGGGAGAAAGUGACAGAUCAUCCGGCCUUAGAUUCUCAUAAGGAGCAUGCAACCUAGAUCCCUAGAAUGCGCGGUUCACAAUAAAGUUGGCACUCCCGAGAGAACUGAAUGCUGCCACUGAUCUGACAGGAGGCAGAGCGGUGAUGCGAGCGAUGGAGAGUGGAUGUAAAUACAGAUGAAGCUUUGCUUGCUCGCCCACUGCUGUGUGGCCUGGUACUGGUCUGUGGCCCAGGGUUUGGGGACCCCUGCUUUAGGCUACCAGAAGCCAGGAGUAAGGCCUGAAAAAGAUGCUUCCCCAGUGCCUUCAGAGGAAGAAUGGCUUUGCGAACACCUUGAUUUCAGACUUCUGGCUUCUGUAGCUGUGAGACAAUCCAUUUCUGUCAUUCUUUUUUUUUUGAAAUGGAGUCUCACUCUAUCGCCAAGGCUGGAUUGCAGUGGCACGAUCUCGGCUCACUGCAAGCUCUGCCUCCCGGAUUCAUGCCAUUCUCCUGCCUCAGCCUCCCAAGUACCUGGGACUACAGGCGCCGGCCACCACGCCUGGCUAAUUUUUUUUUUUUGUUUUGUAUUUUUAGUAGAGAUGGGGUUUCACCAUGUUAGCCAGGAUGGUCUCGAUCUCCUGACCUCGUGAUCCGCCCACCUCGGCCUCCCAAAAUGCUGGGAUUACAGGUGUGAACCACUGCACCCUGCCACAUUUCUGUUCUUCUAAGCCACCCAGUUCAUGGUACUUUGUUAUGGCAUCCCUAGGAAAUGAACAUGUGUGCAGUAGAGCAUUUUCCCACUAAAAGGUAAAGACAUCCAAGUUCCACCUAGACAAUUACAGGGUUGCAAGACUCCUGGACAGGGGAAACAAACCAAAGAAAUCGCUCAUUGGAAAUAGGUGUGACCAGAUUUGGUGCUCUUCCCAUAAUGUGGGCUGGGGCACUUGGUUCUGUCCUCACCUUCAUGUACCUUCUGUUUUCUAUUUUAACAAAUAAAUCUCAAUUGCUUAGGGUACUCAGUUCCAUGAUGUGUUUGUUUUUCUGCAACUCAGCUCACCCUCUCCUCCUCAGAGAGGCAGACCUAAAGUUCCUGAGAACAGGGCACCCAUGUCAGAGACUUGUGGAAGAGGGACCAGGUCUCUGGGCUUCUCUGCUUCCUGCUGGAUUUUGCUGUUUUCUCUAGGGCUCUGUUUAAUGGUGCUGUGCCGGGAGAGUGAUUUCUGCACUAUCUUUCUGGAAUUGGGAGGGGCACAGAAGCAGGAAAAGUGAAUUCCAGGAAAGUUGUUGCAUGUUGGAAGCUGUGUUGUGGGGAAGUGACAAGUUGCUUGCUAUCUGAAUGGGGAUGGGAUCCUUUGUGAAGGCAGCAUGAAUCACCAACAGGUAGGAUUAGAUGGAUGAUGGUUGUAUUUGGAAUUGUAGCCACACCCUUGGGACUGCAGCCCUGUGAAGACUGAGGUUCUGACGAAAGUCAAGAAAAAUCUGCAUUGCAACUCUUCGAAGAGAAGAAUGUGACAUCUUGAUUACAUCAAGAGUGGCAGGGCUGGGACACCAGAGUUUCCGGAAUGGCUCCUCAGGGCUCCAGCUGCAACAAACUCGCUGUGCCAAUGUGCAUGCAGUUCCUGAUUCUAAUCAAAUAAGUAUCAUAACCGAGUUCACCCGAAAUAGAGUAUACUGCACAGAAACUUAAUAAUGGUGUCGUUUUCCAGAGGCAGCUGCAUAAAUCACAGGAGACUGAAUACAGGAGAAGAUGUAAGAAUCCAGUCAGCUUCUAUCAAACCAGACAUAAAAGACAUUUGCAGAUAUGUAAAACAAUGCCACUCUUCACAUUGCAUUUUUAAAAAAUAUUAUUUCCCAGAAAAUAUAUCAUCUAUGUUAAUAUGGAAUGGGGUUUGUUAUUCUUAUUUUAAGUAAGGUAUUAUAUAAAUAUUUUUAAUGUCUCAGUUUUAAUUUCUAAUGAAGUCAAUAUCAAUAGAUGUAAUCUAUAUAAACCAAAGUUCUCCGGGGUCUUCAAGAGUGUAAAGGAGUCCUGAGAUCAAAAGGGAUGAAAACCUCUGCCCUACCCUGGCCACCUAAGGGGCUGAAGCCCUCCAGGAGCAGUGCUCCCGGCUCUUGCUGCUGCCCCAGAGCUGAGGGUUUUGGAGCACUGGUGCCCUACAAAACGGAGAGACUGGAAGGAGUUUUCUGGGUCAUGAGGUUGGAACUGCUGGCAGAAGAUCACAGCAUAACUUUCUUCUGGGUUAUAGGAAGAAAUAUAUAAGUAGA